UUGCGGUUAAAAAGCUCGUAGUUGGAUUCCUGCGAGAGUUCACCGGUCGUCCUUAUGGGAUUGUAUCAGGCAAACUCUUGCAUCCUCACGUGGUACGAUGCUGCGUUUCAUUACGUGGCGCGGAACGCGUGACUUUUACUUUGAGGAAAUUAGAGUGUUCACGGCAAGCAAUCGCUUUGAAUAUGUUAGCAUGGAAUAAUAAUAUAGGACCUUGGUACUAUUUUGUUGGUUUCUAGAACUAAGGUAAUGAUUAAUAGGGACAGUUUGGGGGCAUUCGUACUAACGCGUCAGAGGUGGAAUUCUUGGAUUGCGUUAUGACGAACUACUGCGAAAGCAUUUGCCAAGGAUGUUUUCAUUGAUCAAGAACGAAAGUAUGGGGAUCGAAAACGAUUAGAUACCGUUGUAGUCUAUACCAUAAACUAUGCCAACUAGGAAUCGGGAGUUUGGAAUAUAUAUGCCACUCUCGGCGCCUUAGGAGAAAUCAAAGUUUUUGGGUUCCGGGGGGAGUAUGGUCGCAAGUCUGAAACUUAAAGGAAUUGACGGAAGGGCACCACCAGGAGUGGAGCCUGCGGCUUAAUUUGACUCAACACGGGAAAACUUACCAGGUCCAGACAUAAGUAAGAUUGACAGAUUGAUAGCUCUUUCUUGAUUUUAUGGGUG
rnacentral:rRNA from 1 species